UUGUGGUUGGGAGAAAUCCUUAGUUUUGCUGUUUGGCACCCUUCUCAUCGUAAUGGAAAGUCAUGAUUUUUGUUCUCUUUAACCAUUUAUGACCAAAUUGUUGAUAUCGUAUUAAAAAUUCUCCCAAUUUGAAUUAGAAGAUACACUUUGCUAAUUCAUUAUGGUUUCUUCACUAGUUCUUCAUAAUUUGUGUUCAAUUUCGCCAGCUUCCUCAAGAUGUUACAAAACCCAAACCCUGACACCUGCUCACUCAAAUUCAUAUUUGAAGUUGAAGAAGAAGCCAUCCCUGCUCUCAAAUGUCCAAACCCAGAAACUCAGAGCCCAAAAACCUCGUUCUUCACCCCUUGUCUUUGCUGCUCAAUCCAACCUCAUCAAAGUUCUGCAGACAGUUUGGAAUGUUGGGAAGGAUGGAAUUGAGGCUGGAACCAAUCUGGUGCCUGCCUCUAUACCAAGACCAGUAGCAAGGAUUUCAAUUACGGUUGUGGCAUUGGCAAUUUCACUCUUUGUACUCAAGUCAUUCGUCUCUACUGCUUUCUUUGCGCUGGCCACGAUGGGAUUUGCUUAUUUCACAUUCAUUGCCUUGAACAAAGAUAAUGGACCAAAAGGGGGUGGUGGUUCCAGUUCCACACCAACCUCUACAGAGGACUCUCUUGAAGAAGCUAGAAGAAUAAUGGAAAAGUACAAGUAACUAUGGUAGCGGGGAUUUAGCUGGCUACCAAUCAUCCAAGUUUUGUUUUAUUCACUUACUGGAGAAAAAUGUGGACUUGCACUUAAUUGAGGGAAAAAGUGGGAUCAUUUUCAACGAUUCUAAGACAAGGGGAAGAAAAAAAUCAUAGAGAAGAUAAUCGCAAAUAGAUCAAUCCUGUUGCUGAACUUGUAUCAUAGAUAGAUGACACUCAGUUUAACAUCAAAGUAGAAACAUAACAUUAAUUGUUAUUCUUCAGAAUUUUAGUCUUCCAUGCUGAUUAUGCACCUCAAACCCUGCCCCUUCUCCAUGA